rnacentral:rRNA from 1 species
UACGUAGGGUGCUAGCGUUAAUCGGAAUUACUGGGCGUAAAGCGUGCGCAGGCGGUUUCACAAGCUCGAUUUGAAAGCCCCGGGCUUAACCUGGGAAUGGCAUUGAGGACUGUGGAGCUUGAGUGCGGCAGAGGGAGGUGGAAUUCCACGUGUAGCAGUGAAAUGCGUAGAGAUGUGGAGGAACACCGAUGGCGAAGGCAGCCUCCUGGGCCGACACUGACGCUCAUGCACGAAAGCGUGGGGAGCAAACAGG